CCGUAACUAUAACGGUCCUAAGGUAGCGAAAUUCCUUGUCGGGCAAGUUCCGACCCGCACGAAAGGCGUAACGAUUUGGGCGCUGUCUCAGCUGUAGACUCGGUGAAGUCUUAGUACCUGUGAAGAUGCAGGUUGCCCGCGACUAGACGGAAAGACCCCAUGGAGCUUCACUGCAGUUUGACAUUGGGCUUGGAUGCAUGAUGUACAGGAUAGGUGGGAGGCUGUGAGCCGUGCGCGCCAGCGUACGGGGAGCCGCUGUUGGGAUACCACCCUUCAUGCAUCUAGGUCCUAACCGGAGGCAACGGGCCACGGGACAGUGUCAGUCGGGCAGUUUGACUGGGGCGGUCGCCUCCCAAAGAGUAACGGAGGCGCCCAAAGAUACCCUCAGCAUGGAUGGAAACCAUGCAUAGAGUGCAAAGGCAUAAGGGUGUCUGACUGCGAGACAUACAGGUCGAGCAGGGACGAAAGUCGGGCUUAGUGAUCCGGCGGAUCCGAAUGGAAGGGCCGUCGCUCAACGGAUAAAAGCUACCCUGGGGAUAACAGGCUGAUCUCGCCCAAGAGUUCACAUCGACGGCGAGGUUUGGCACCUCGAUGUCGGCUCAUCGCAUCCUGGAGCUGAAGUCGGUUCCAAGGGUUGGGCUGUUCGCCCAUUAAAGCGGUACGCGAGCUGGGUUCAGAACGUCGUGAGACAGUUCGGUCCCUAUCUGUCGUGGGCGCAGGAGGUUUGAGGAGAGCUGCCCCUAGUACGAGAGGACCGGGGUGGACGGACCGAUGGUGCACCAGUUGUCACGCCAGUGGCACAGCUGGGCAGCCAAGUCCGGACGGGAUAAGCGCUGAAGGCAUCUAAGCGUGAAGCCCCCUCCAAGAUGAGACCUCCCAUUGGCGACAAGUAAGGCCCCUCGAAGACGACGAGGUUGAUAGGCCGCGAGUGCAAGCGCAGCGAUGUGCUUAGCGGGGCGGUACUAAUAGGCCGAGGACUUGGCCAA
rnacentral:rRNA from 1 species